GGGCUGAUUCUCUACGCUGAUCCUCCUAUAAUCCCGUAGAUGAUUAUCGUAAUUACCCCCUCAGUCUUCGAGUGAGGAAAAAAUUAUAGGAUGAAUUUAAGCAUGAUUGCCACGUGGAAGGGCAUAUUGGGAAUUACGAGGAAAUGAAAUUUGUACAAAUGGGAAUGCUGGGGAGAGGAUUAUGUUUACCUUCACCUUAUCAGCAAAUGAAGAACGAAUGAUUCACAGAAAACCAAAAAGCCACAAAUCAUUUUACACUAAUUCAAAUCUCCUUUUCCUUUUUUAAUACUUUGAUCGAACGCUUUCCUUUCUCUGAACUCCUUUUUGUUUUUUAAUCUCUCUGUUUGAUUAUGGCGUUAGCUGAGAGCUCCAAUAUGCUUUCUUCUUCUUCUAUUAUGCUUGAAGACGAGGAUGAUCAUGAUACUGAUGAUGGGUAUGAUCAUGAUCAUCAUCCUCCACCCAGUAAUCUGUCCAGGUUGUCUGUGUGUACUAGUUCUAUGUAUACUAUUGAUGAUGAUGAUUAUCAAGAUUGUGAUGGUAUGAGGCUGUUCUUGUCAAGAUUAUCCAUAGAAAGCUUCGAUGCAGAUGAGGAACUCUCCGAUGAGAAAGAAGGGUUUGGCAUGCUUGACCUCUCCUCAGAUUCCGAUGAAGAACCCUGUUGCUACUCUCUUCCAGCGACGCCGCCUCGCCGUAGAAACCGCGGAGGUUUGGUAAAUAAGAAGCUUGUGGGGGCGAAGGAGUAUGCCAGUGAAAAUGAAGCUCAAAAGGGUAGUACGAGAAAGAAUUUGAGGAGGAGAAGAAGGGUUAUAAGAGAAAGAUGGGUUGAUGGUGAUAAUAAGAGUAAAAAGAAAGAUGAGGAGUGUAUGGGCUGGGGAAUGGGUAAUUACUAUGGGUACUGUAACAGUUUUAGUGGGGAGAGUGAAGGCGGAGGGGUGGUGUUGAUAACUCGGCCAAAGGGUGGGAGUAGGUCAUUGUGCAUGGACUUGGACGAAGUGAAGGCUUGUCGAGAUCUUGGGUUUGAAUUGGAGCAUGAGCGCAUGCUGGAAAUGCCUGGUCGUGUCUCCCUCUCAGGUUCUACCCUUGAUACAAGCAGCGGUGGCAAUUCGCCUAUCGCCAACUGGCGGAUUUCUAGCCCUGGUUAGUGUUCGAUAUCUAACAAUCUCUCUUCAUUCUCCCCCUGAAGCACAAGAUUUUGGAUCACAGAUUGAAAGGAGCGACUAAAAAUUAAUUGAACACUGUCGAUUAUUGCUGUUUUUCUUUGAAGUUACUUGCAUUGGGGCUUAAAGCUUAAAACUUUGUAUGGAUUUGCGUGCGUCUAAUUGAGUAUUAAUUAACUUUGUUUUGCAGGUGAUGAUCCACGAGAAGUGAAGGCCCGGCUAAAGGUAUGGGCUCAGGCAGUGGCGCUUGCAUCUGCAUCUCGACACGGCGGCAUCUGAACCGUGUUUCUUUUUGCACCUUUGCUCUCUAUCUUAAACCAAAAAAGAAAAAAGGGAAAAAGGAAAAAAAUAUUUUUUUCGAAGGAUAGAUAUAAUCUUUAUUAUUAAUCUAGGUAUUGAGGUUGGCUUGUUAAGAAACAAAAGUUUCCUUUUUGAAGGUUAUCCAUUUUGUAAUGUGGAUUGUGGUGUUGGGAUUUCAGGUCGGAGUCUCUCACUGCUUAGUUACUGUACAUGUUUCAGUUGUUGUAAAUAGAUCAGACGAUCGAUCAGGGUUGGAGGCAUCCUGGUUGACUCAAAACAGUUGAUUGUUACUGUUGUAAUUUUUUGGGAGCUUGUAUUUACUUUACACAGUUUGUUAUUGAGUUUGUUAUUGAGUUAAGAUUAAUUUGAUGAGCGGUUAUUGUAGUAUUGAGAGUGAGAUUGAUUGUUAAAAUGGGGAAAGAACAAGAAGGUUAAGUUACUUGCGACUUUAGAGCUUUACGUUAUCAAUGAUGAUUUCGUUCAGCUUAGAAAUUCUUCUCGAUUUUCUCCGCAAGAGUGGCAACUAAUUGCCCCUAACCAAUCUUUGACUCGAAGUUGAGAACUGCCCCGGAAUCCCAUGGUUAUCAAAGAACUCCUAAAUAAUUGCAAAAAAA
rnacentral:misc_RNA from 1 species